rnacentral:sRNA from 1 species
AAUUUGCCGAAAAGUGCGUUAGGGAUUGAUGCGGCAUCCUUUUUUUGCUAGAUUAAACUUAAAAAACCGACAAUAACCACUUGGUUUGUCUGUAAUUUAACAAAACCAACUUUAUAAAGUUGCAUAAAAAAGAUAUAGCGGAAAGCCCGAUCCUUG